UACGGAGGGGGCUAGCGUUGUUCGGAAUUACUGGGCGUAAAGGGCGCGUAGGCGGCGCGAUAAGUUGGGCGUGAAAGGCCCGGGCUCAACCCGGGGACUGCGCUUGAUACUGUCGCGCUGUGAGUCCGGGAGAGGAUCGCGGAAUUCCCGGUGUAGAGGUGAAAUGCGCAGAUAUCAGGAGGAACACCGGUGGCGAAGGCGGAUCUCUGGGCCGAUACUGACGCUGAGGAGCGAAAGCGUGGGGAGCGAACAGG
rnacentral:rRNA from 1 species